ACAAUGCGCCCCGUUGCAGGUGCUGCGGAAGGAUUCUCCGACCGCGGUCAAACGGGAAAGCGGUGCGUCGCCAAACGACCAGUCCGCUGCUGCCCCCGCAACGGUAAGCGAGUGCGGGCGCGCCAUCAUGCCACUGGACCCUGGUCCGGGAAGGCGGCGCGUCAAGACUUGCGAGCCCGGAUACCGGCCUGUGACAAGCAGCGGAA
rnacentral:ncRNA from 2 species